rnacentral:rRNA from 1 species
GUCUUAUUGAUAAUAAUUUUAAGUCUUGCCUGCCCCCUGUUUAGAUAAAUGGCCGCAGUAUUCUGACUGUGCUAAGGUAGCAUAAUCAUUAGUUUUUUAAUUAAAAGCUAGAAUGAAGGGUAUUAUGAGAAAAUAACUGUCUCUUUUAUAAAGUUAAAAUUUUAUCUUUAAGUAAAAAAGCUUAAAUAAAGUUAAAAGACGAGAAGACCCUAUAGAAUUUUAUAUAAUUUGGUUUUUAAUUUAUUAGAAAUUAAAAUUUAUUUAUUUAUUUAUAUUUGAUUGGGGUGAUUAAAAAAUUUAAAAAACUUUUUUUUAUAAUACCAUUAAUAUAUGAUUAUAUGAUUCAUUAUAAUGAUUUAAGUAAAAAUUACCUUAGGGAUAACAGCGUAAUCUUUUUUUAUAGUUCAAAUAAAAAAAAGGGAUUGCGACCUCGAUGUUGGAUUAAAAU